rnacentral:lncRNA from 1 species
UUCGAUCUAAGAAAGAAACGUGCCAGAUCUAGAAAAAUCUCUUGCUCUUUGUGAUCUAGACCAUUGUAACUCAGUUUCAUCACUUAAAUUUACCUUUGUAGGAGGAAUUCUUAUAAGUUUGUCUAGCGUACGUUGAAAUGGUAUUGAGGAAGUCAAGGUAGGAAAACAAUUUUCCAGAAGUGGCAGAUGUCCUCGACCCUGAAGCUAACAAAAUAAUCAUACUUUAUUUGAGGAGCUACGUUUUCUGACAUGGAUUUUUCCUCUACACCCUUCUGUUUUUGAAAUAACUGACAGACAAAGAAAAAAGAAGAGCCAAAGAAAUACAAAACAUUUAAUUUCCAGAACAACUCAAACAAAGUAUGGUGUUGCAGUGGAACAUGUACACAGUGGAUCUUUCUUAAUUUGUCUCUAUACCGGAAUAUGUAUGAGCCUCAAGGUAGAUAUAACUGGAUAGAGAAAUAGAGUUAGAAAUUAUGUGGAAAACCAGUGUUUAUAAAACUGAAAAUUGAUAUCUAAUACUAGUUGAAAUAAGGAAGGAGAAGCUAGGGUGUCAUAUUAUGGAAAAUACAUGAAUAU